UUUCUACUUAUUUUUUAAUAAAAAUAUGUUCACAAAUAAAUAAAAAAAAAUACUAUUUAAAAAGUUAGAAAAUUACAAAAUACUAACUUCAAAAACAUAAUUUUGAAUUCAAAUUAAGAAAAAAAAAACAUGAACAGACCCGACGGAACUCAAUCAAGAGAAAAGAAAAAGAACAACCAAGCCAAAAUACAGAAUAAAACUACAAAUUUCCUAGAAUUAAGUAUUUUAAGUUAAACUGAGAAACACUGAAUAUGUUUUGCUAUUCUUGUGAAAUUAAUUUAAGGGUUUAGAUUGUAGAAGGCUCAGAUUUGAUAUUUGAUCAAGCAAAGAUGAAAGCCGUCGGCUAUGGCUGCAAGAGAUCCGGUUGCCCAUGACGGACCAUCCGGGUUGCCCCGCCAAUGAAACAACUACUUUCGAACCUUGCCCGACGGACACUCUUCGGGUCAACAGAUCCAUCUUCAUCGCCCGAUUGUACCGUCUUUUCCAUUUAGGAAAACCAGAGAGAGAGAGAGAGAGAGAAGGGAAAAAAAAAAAAAAAGAAAAAGAAAAAGCAAUUGAAUUAUACAGUGUUUGCAUGGAGAAAGGGAGGAGGGCGUUGAUUGGGGUUGCGGUGGAAGAAAAUCAUUGGCUCUGGUGUGAGAAAGAAGGCCAAUCCCCUCCCUGAAACUCCCCCUUCUCACUUAACCAUAGCCUCAUUUUUCCCAUCGAGUGUCAAACCCUAGAGCUCCAUUUUUAAUCUACUCUUUAUAAAACCUUGGUUUCUAUAAGGGUAAUUUAGUCAUUCUAUUUUAAUUUCAUGCCCGAAAUACAAGCUUUGAGAAAAACCGAUUAUUAAUCUCCUUUAAAAAUUUAAAGUUUAC
rnacentral:lncRNA from 1 species